UACGUAGGGUGCGAGCGUUUGUCCGGAAUUACUGGGCGUAAAGAGCUCGUAGGUGGUUUGUCGCGUUGUUCGUGAAAACCGGGGGCUUAACCCUCGGCGUGCGGGCGAUACAGGCAGACGUUGAGUACUGCAGGGGGAGACUGGAAUUCCUGGUGUAGCGGUGGAAUGCGCAGAUAUCAGGAGGAACACCGGUGGCGAAGGCGGGGUCUCUGGGCAGUAACUGACGCUGAGGAGCGAAAGCGUGGGGAGCGAACAGG
rnacentral:rRNA from 1 species